UCAGAGCAGCCUUCAUACAAGCAGCAAGGUGACAGGCUCUUUCCUGGUGGAUUCUGCCACAGCCUUUUAGUUUUUGAGUGUUUCUGGCUAAAAGCAUUCAUUCUAUGUUUGGAAUUGUCACAUUCUCAGUGACUGCUUUUUAAAAGAGAUUUAAAACAGAUUUUUUGUUGCUCUGUUUUCUUACUGAGUGAUGUUCGUCUGCUGAAGUACAAAUCUGUCAUUCUGUGGUAUAAAAAUAGCUUUUCUAAGGUUUUUUCUUUCUUUCUUUCUUUUGUUUUUUAGAUAAAUUCUCUUUUUGUUAACCAUUACCUUGCACACGAGAGCAACACUUCCUGAUUUGUUCUGCUCUAAGCAGUUCCAUAUACCCGUGGGACUGCAAGCAUGAAUAGGUGCUAUUUGGCAUGCAUGUGCAGUGCUGAUUAGGCCCAUAAAUAACCACUGGAAAAUUACUAUUAAUGGUACCUUGAUAGUUUUAUUUCUGUUUGUGCUCAGGAGUCAUUACAACACAUUGACUUCUGUGUAGAAGAGGUGGCUGAGCUGCUGUUGUAUGUUGUGAGAUGGUGGUUCUUCCUACUCAAAAAGAUAAGAAAGUAAAAACUUGGUUCUAAGAUUUCAGUAAUUUCUUUCUGUUAUCAAGAAAAAUGUAUUUCCCAUGUAGCCUGGGGAGUUGCACAUUUCUGCAGUUUGGCUCUGAGAAGGUAAGAAAUUGCCCCUUUUUGCAGCAUUUUUAAAAUAUAUUUUGUCUACAUUUAAUUGUUCUCUAGGUAGGGGUGCCACUUGUGAAAGGUGCGCUGUCCUCAUUUUGUUUCUCAGUUGCAGAGUUUGAAAUAAAAAUCUGAGAUUACAGCUGGACCUAUGAACUCUUCACAGUUUGAACAGAGACAUUUCCACGAUCUGUUGUGGAUGCCUGCACUGCAAACUAUUUGGAGGGAGAAGAGAAUCAGAAUUUGCCAUUACCUUCAGCACAAGUUACAUCAGCCCCAUUAAGCCUUCAGUGAGAAUAUUUAAGUCUCCUGCGUACGACUUUGUAAUCAUGACUCUGCACUCCUAGGACUGGCUUGAUUAAGAGCUGUGAGCACCGUUACGGCACUAUCAGCAGCUGUGCAGGCUUCCUAACCCUGCUGCCUGUAAACAUGUCAGCUCGGUGAGAGAAAAAUUCAUGGAGCCAGCAUAGCUGCCAUUCAGGCCGUGUGUCCCCAACCAGAUAGUUUCUAAUUUUCAGAGAAAGAUAUCACUCUGGAAUUAGGGAUUUGAAGAAUGACAAAUAAAGAGCUUUCUGAAUCUACUGCUUGAAGAAGU
rnacentral:lncRNA from 1 species